AUGGCGGCGCCACCGCCGGAGCCGCCGAUCCUUCGAACCCACGACGAGCUCCUCGAGGAGAUCUUCCUCCUUCUCCCCACUGCUGCCGACUUAGCCCGCGCCUCCCUGGCGCGCGCCUCCUUCCGCCGUCUCAUCACCGGCCACGCCUUCCUCCGCCGCUACCGCACCCUCCACCCGCCCCCUCUCAUCGGCGUGCUCGAAGUCCACGACAAUGCCUUCUUCCCAGCCCAGCCUCCGCACCCCUCCGCCGCCGCCGCCCGCACUUUUGCCGGCUUCGACUUCUCCUACUCCUCCUUCCUCCCCUCCACCGCCGGCCGUACCUGGAGCGCGAUUGAUCUCUUCGACGGACGCCUCCUCCUCGGCGGCGCCCCAGAGGAGAGGACGCGCGACUUUGACUACCUCCAACUUUUGGUCAGGGAGCUCGCUGUGUGCGAUCCCGUGUUCCGCCGCUACAUCCUGCUGCCCGCCGUCCCCGGCGACCUGACGGCACUGCUCCCUGAACCGGAGGACUUCCUCGAUUUGGACACUUUCCUUGCUCCCGGUGAUGAUGAGGAGGACUCUUUAUCAUUCAGGGUCAUGUUCUUGGUGCGGUGCACAAGGAAUAUGCUGCUCCUCGUCUUCUCCUCUGUGGAUGGGCAAUGGCAUGCUCUUACAUUUGACCAAUGCAGGAGUGUUCCUGGGACAUUUGACCCAUAUAAGGAUGGGAUGAUAAGACGUCAAUUCGUCGGCCGAUGCUUCUGUUGGCAUCCAGGUGUCCUCAACGACUUGCUUCUGCUUGACACACACUCCAUGGAGUUCUCUACUGUCAGCCUCCAACCUGAACCACUGCAGUGUCAGUGUGACGACUAUGUUGUUGUCGAGGCAGCACAAGGAAUGCUUGGGCUGCUCCUUGUAAUCAACGACGGGCACAACCAUGAUGGCCCAUACCGGCUCGAGUAUUCCGUUCUGAGAAAUAACCAGUGGCACUCAGAGAAGGUCAUCCCGUUGCUGGAAAAGUAUGAUGUUUUUCUGUUUGGUGUAGCCAGGGGAUACGCGCUCAUACACGCACAGUACACCCCAUCUUUACAAGAGAAUCCAGGUUUUUUUUCAGUGGACAUCAAGACAUUGCAGGUAGAGUUCUUCGGCGAAGGCUCCCAUGGCUCUGAUAGUGGUGAACUAUAUGCUGGUUUCCCACCAUCAUUGUGUGCACCAACUAUAUGA
rnacentral:rRNA from 1 species